UUGCAUGCGGCAGAAGCCUCCUGAGGCCAGUUCCUGACCACAGUUACCAGCCCUGUUACCUUGGCAACCUGAUGCACCACCAACCUGCAGCAGAGGCAUGUUGUCACAAUGUGGUGUCAGAGGUGUCGAUGUCCAGGGCAGCAGGAGAGACUUUGAUCCUGCGUGUGAGGAGAUUUGAGUGUAGCCUCUCUGCAGACACCAGCUGAGAUUCUUGAAUUCAUUAGUUUUUAAUAACUGGAGCAUCGCGCUGUGAUCAAAUAUCUUCAUCUCAAAGGAAUGUCACCAUCUGAAGUCCACCAAGAUAUGCUCAAAACUUUACAUGACAAUGCCCCUUCAUGUGCCACAGUUUAACGCUGGGUACAAGAAUUCAAGCGUAGCAGGGAGAGUGUUGGAGAUGGGUCUUUGAGUCCCAACCUGAUGAGUUCUUGUCCACUGGGAUGAAGGCGCAUCAGCACCACUGGAGCCACUGUGUUGCCCUUGAGGGGGAUUAUGUUGAAAAAUAAAAGCACUGAAAAAUC